UAUGGGGCGGCAGGGUAGCCUAGUGGUUAGAGCGUUGGACUAGUAACCGGAAGGUUGCAAGCUCAAACCCCCGAGCUGACAAGGUACAAAUCUGUUGUUCUGCCCCUGAACAGGCAGUUCCUAGGCCGUCAUUGAAAAUAAGAAUUUGUUCUUAACUGACUUGCCUAGUUAAAUAAAAGUUUAAAAAAAUAUAUAUCACAAGUUUAAUAGUCCAGAGUGGUAGUACUGUGAAUCUUAGAAGUGCUGAGCCCUGAGGGGUACAGGCAGAAGGUUUGUCCUAUUGCAGUAAUGGCUGUAGAGAAGCAUUAUGUUGCUGCAUGUGACCAGAUACUAGACCAUCAGCCCCAGAUGUCUAUAUUCAGUCCAUCAACCCCAGAUGUCUGUAUUCAGACCAUCAGCCCCAGAUGUCUACAUUCAGUCCAUCAGCCCCAGAUGUCUAUAUUCAGUCCAUCAGCCCCAGAUGUCUGUAUUCAGACCAUCAGCCCCAGAUGUCUAUAUUCAGUCCAUCAGCAUCAGAUAUCUAUAUUCAGACCAUCAGCCCCAGAUGUCUGUAUUCAGUACAGCAGAUAACACUACCUCUUCAUCUGAAGACACUAAACCAACAGUCUUUUCUCUUUUAAACAAAACAAUUAUUUAACAGUACCAAAAUCAACAGACACUAAACUUUCACUAUCUUUUUAUUUGAUUUCUGAAUGUCAUUUUCCCCUACAUGGGUUUAGCUGUAGUGGAUAUAUUUUGGGAGGUACUUGAGAAAUGUACAGCAAACAGGAAGUCCAAUGGUUUCGUUGACGAGAACCCUUUAGAGUUCAAUUUGAAAGAACCCAGUAGAGAUACUGACUCCCAAAUGGAACACUAUUUACUACAUAGUUUAGACUGGGCUCCUUAGUGCACUACUGUUGACCAGAGCCCUAUGUGGGGAACAGGGUGUCAUUUGGGACGCAGUCACUCCGAGACGAUCUGACCACUGUGUCCUACAGACUGGUAUGUGUUGGGUUACGGAGAGAUGAUCUGACCACUGUGUCCUACAGACUGGUAAGUGUUGGGUUACGGAGAGAUAAUCUGACCACUGUGUCCAACAGACUGGUAAGUGUUGGGUUACGGCGAGACGAUCUGACCACUGUGUCCAACAGACUGGUAAGUGUUGGGUUACGGAGAGAUGAUCUGACCACUGUGUCCUACAGACUGGUAAGUGUUGGGUUACGGAGAGACGAUCUGACCGCUGUGUCCUACAGACUGGUAAGUGUUUGGUUACGGAGAGACGAUCUGACCACUGUGUCCUACAGACUGGUAAGUGUUGGGUUACGGAGAGACGAUCUGACCACUGUGUCCAACAGACUGGUAAGUGUUGGGUUACGGAGAGAUGAUCUGACCACUGUGUCCUACAGACUGGUAAGUGUUGGGUUACGGAGAGACGAUCUGACCACUGUGUCCAACAGACUGGUAAGUGCUGGGUUAUGGAGAGACGAUCUGACCACUGUGUCCUACAGACUGGUAAGUGUUGGGUUACGGAGAGACGAUCUGACCACUGUGUCCAACAGACUGGUAAGUGUUGGGUUACGGAGAGAUGAUCUGACCACUGUGUCCUACAGACUGGUAAGUGUUGGGUUACGGAGAGACGAUCUGACCACUGUGUCCAACAGACUGGUAAGUGCUGGGUUAUGGAGAGACGAUCUGACCACUGUGUCCUACAGACUGGUAAGUGUUGGGUUACGGAGAGACGAUACAAUUGAUGCAUUGUGACUCUUGUACAUGUUCUACAGAUCUACAGUUAUUAACCUGUACAGUGACAGUUCAACCACUAGUCUAGAGUUGUACUACCUUCUACUAGAGUUGUACUACAUUCUACUAGAGUUGUACUACCUUCUACUAGAGUUGUACUACCUUCGACUAGAGUUGUACUACCUUCUACUAGAGUUGUACUACCUUCUACUAGAGUUGUACUACCUUCUACUAGAGUUGUACUACCUUCUACUAGAGUUGUACUACAUUCUGCAUGUCCAGAAAACUGUUGAAACAGUCGGUCAGAUUGUUUAACACAAUAAAAUAGGAAAAUCUAUAACGAUGUGGCAGUCUUCGCCAUACUGGCUACUGGACAUGUAAGGAUUGACAUUUCUAAAAGGUUGCAUCUUGGACAUUCACAGCUGGCACGCCAUUUUAGAAAUUUCCCUGACUGAGAGGCAGGUGUAAAGCCAAACGCGGUUGUCCGAACCCCCCCACACAAACUCCAACUAACACUCUGCAACACUACAAGACAUCACCCCCUCACAACACUACAACCCGACUCCGACACAGGCCCUUAGAGGGCUUUGUUGUUUAAACCUCCCCUCACCUCUUCAUAAGGUACACAUCAUCCCAUAUUAAACAUGGCUACCUCUUCAUCUCAACAGGCACCAUUUUAAGACCUCAAUAUCUCACUUUAGAUAAUCUUCAAGAAGAGUGUUGAAAACAACCACUGUAACUACAUCCCUAAUGAAACCUUAUACCCUAUAUAGUGCGCUACUUUGACCAGGGCCCUAUGGCACUGUAUUUGGUAUUUUAUUAGGAUCCCCAUUGGCUGUUGCAAAAGCAGCAGCUACUCUUCCUGGGGUUCCACACAGAACAUGAAACAUAAUAUAGAACAUUAAUAGACAAGAACAGCUCAAUGACAGAACUACAUACAUUUUUAAAAAGGCACACGUAGCCUACAUAUCAAUGGACAAACUAUCUAGGUCAAAUAGGGGAGAGGCGUUGUGCCAUGAGGUGUUGUUUUAUCUGUUUUUUGAAACCAGGUUUGCUGUUUAUUUGAGCAAUAUGAGAUGGAAGGAAAGUCCAUGCAAUAAGGCUCUAUAUAAUACUGUACGUUUUCUUGAAUUUGUUCUCGAUUUGGAGACUGUGAAAAGACCCCUGGUGGCAUGUCUGCUGGGAUAAGUGUGUGUCAGAGCUGUAUGUAAGUUGACUAUGCAAACAAUUUGGGAUUUUCAACGCUGUUUAUUGUAAAAAGAAAUAAGUGAUGCAGUCAGUUUCUCCUCAACUCUUAUCCAGGAGAGACUGGCAUGUAUAGUAUUUAUAUCAGUCCUCUGAUUACAAUGAAGAGCAAGACGUGCUGCUCUGUUCUGGACCAGCUGCAGCUUAACUAGGUCUUUCCUUGCAGCACUGGACCACACGACUGGACAAUAAUCAAGAUUAGACCAAACUAGAGCCUGCAGGAAUUGCUUUGUGGUGUCAAAAAAGCAGAGCAUCUCUUUAUUAUGGACAGACCUUUCCCCAUCUUUACAACCACUGAAUCUAUAUGUUUUGACCAUGACAGUUUACAUUCUAAGGUAACACCAAGUAUUUUAGUCUCUUCAACUUGUUCAACAGCCACACCAUUCAUUACCAGAUUCAGUUGAGGUCUAGAACUUAGGGAAUGAUAUGUACCAAAUACAAUGCUCUUAGUUGAAUAGAUGUUCAGGACCAGUUUAUUAUUGUCCACGCAUUCCAAAACAGACUGCAACUCUUUGUUAAGGGUUUCAGUGAGUUCAUUAGCUGUGGUUGCUGAUGCGUAUAUGGUUGAAUCAUCAGCAUACAUGAACACACAUGCUUUGUUUAAUGCAAGUGGCAGGUCAUUGUCUAUAAGCAUGCAAAAUGUCUGUUAAUUUGUUUACAGAAGGGCCUCACAGGGUGGCUUAGUGGUCUAAGGCACUGCAUCGCAGUGCUAGCUGUGCCACUAGAGAUUCUGGGUAAGAGACCAUGGGGCGGCGCACAAUUGGCCCAGCGUCGUCCGGGUUAGGGAGGGCUUGGUCGGCAGGGAUAUCCUGGUCUCAUCGCGCACUCCUGUGUUGGGCUGGGCGCACUGCACGCUGACCAGGUGUUUCCUCUGACACAUUGGUGUGGCUGGCUUCUGGGUUGGUUGUGCAUUGUGUCAAGAAGCAGUGCGGCUUGGUUGGGUUGUGUUUCGGAGGAAGCAUGGCUCUUGACCUUCACCUCUCCCAAGGUUGUACGGGAGUUGCAGUGAUGAGACAAGACUGUAACUACUACCAAUUGGAUACCAUGAAAUUGGGGGGUAAAAAAAGAAAAUUUACAGAGAAAUAGCAUUGUAUUUGGUCAAACACAAUUUUUUCCAACAGUUUGCUAAGAGCUGGCAGCAAGCUUAUAGGUCUGCUGUUAGAACCAGUAAAGGCUGCUUUACCACUCUUAGGUAGCGGAAUUACUUUGGCUUCCCUUCAGGCCUGAGGACAAAGACUUUCCUCUAGACUCAGAUUAAAGAUAUGACAGAUAGGAGUGGCUAUAGAGUCAGCCACCAUCCUUAGUAGCUUUCGAUCUAAGUUGUCAAUGCCAGGAGGUUUUUCAUUAUUUAUUUUUUUAUGCAUUAAUAUAAUUGCUCACUGUUUGUCGUGGGCAUUUCCUGCCUAAGUUUGCCCAUUUUGCAAAUGAAAUAAUCAUUAAAAUAAUUGGCAACAAAUGGUUUUGUGAUGAAUAAGUCAUCUGAUUUGAUGAAAGAUGGAGUUUAAUUUAGGGUUGAAUUUGUCUUUCUGUCCAUUAUUUCAUUUAAAAUACAAACGUUUUUUUCUCCAAAAUUCUUUAUAUAAUUGAUCUUGGCUUCUUCUUCUUUUUGUUGAGUUUAGUCACAUAAUUUCUCAAUUUGCAGUAAGUCAGCCAGUCAGAUGUGCAGCCAGACUUAUUAGCCACUCCUUUUGCCUCCAUCUCUUUCAACCAAUACAGUUUUUCAAUUCCUCAUCAAUCCAUGGAGCCUUUACAGUUCUAACAGUCAGUUUCUUAACAGGUUCAUGUUUAUCAAUAAUUGGAAGAGGCAAUUUCAUACAUUCAUCAAGUGCAGUGUCUGGAUGCUGCGUAUUAAUCACAUCAGACCAACAAAUAUGUUUAAUAUCAUCCACAUAAGCAAAAUCUUUUGUAUGAUCUCUUAUACACUAUUUUAGGACCAGCUGAUGGAACUUUGGCUUUCCUGCAUAUAGCCACUAUAUUGUGCUCACUGCAUCCAAUGGGUAUGGAUAUAGGUUUAGAAUAAAGUUCUACAGCAUUAGUAAAUAUGUGAUCGAUAUAUGUGGAUGAUCUUGUUCCUUUAGUGUUUGUAAACACCCUGAUAGGUUGAUUAAUAACCUGAACCAGAUUACAGGCACUGGUCACAGUGAGAAGCUUCCUCUUGAGCAGACAGCUUGAUUUAAACCAGUCAAUAUUCAGGUCCCCAAGAAAGUAGACCUCUCUGUUUACAUCACAUACACUAUCAAGCAUUUCACACAUAUUAUUUAGAUACUGACCGUUAGCACUUGGUGGCCUAUAGCAACACCCCAAAAGAAAAGGCUUUAGAUGUGCCAGGUGAACCUGCCACCACAACACUUCAAUAACACUUAAGAUCUUCUCUAAGCAUUAUACGGCUCUGAAUAUAUACAGCAACACCUCCCCCAUAAGCAUUACAGGGAUAUGACUGAAUA
ensembl:lncRNA